rnacentral:rRNA from 1 species
ACUGCAGUCGAGCGGACUAAUGGGAGCUUGCUCCCGUUAGUUAGCGGCGGACGGGUGAGUAACACGUGGGCAACCUACCUGUAAGACUGGGAUAACUUCGGGAAACCGGAGCUAAUACCGGAUGACAUAAAGGAACUCCUGUUCCUUUAUUGAAAGAUGGCUUCGGCUAUCACUUACAGAUGGGCCCGCGGCGCAUUAGCUAGUUGGUGAGGUAACGGCUCACCAAGGCGACGAUGCGUAGCCGACCUGAGAGGGUGAUCGGCCACACUGGGACUGAAACACGGCCCAGACUCCUACGGGAGGCAGCAGUAGGGAAUCUUCCGCAAUGGACGAAAGUCUGACGGAGCAACGCCGCGUGAGCGAUGAAGGCCUUCGGGUCGUAAAGCUCUGUUGUUAGGGAAGAAUAAGUGCUAGUUAAAUAAGCUGGCACCUUGACGGUACCUAACCAGAAAGCCACGGCUAACUACGUGCCAGCAGCCGCGGUAAUACGUAGGUGGCAAGCGUUGUCCGGAAUUAUUGGGCGUAAAGCGCGCGCAGGCGGUUUCUUAAGUCUGAUGUGAAAGCCCCCGGCUCAACCGGGGAGGGUCAUUGGAAACUGGGAAACUUGAGUGCAGAAGAGGAAAGUGGAAUUCCAAGUGUAGCGGUGAAAUGCGUAGAGAUUUGGAGGAACACCAGUGGCGAAAGCGACUUUCUGGUCUGUAACUGACGCUGAGGCGCGAAAGCGUGGGGAGCAAACAGGAUUAGAUACCCUGGUAGUCCACGCUGUAAACGAUGAGUGCUAAG